rnacentral:rRNA from 1 species
GACGAACGCUGGCGGCGUGCUUAACACAUGCAAGUCGAACGGAAAGGCCCUGCUUUUGUGGGGUGCUCGAGUGGCGAACGGGUGAGUAACACGUGAGUAACCUGCCCUUGACUUUGGGAUAACUUCAGGAAACUGGGGCUAAUACCGGCUAGGAGCUCCUGCUGCAUGGUGGGGGUUGGAAAGUUUCGGCGGUUGGGGAUGGACUCGCGGCUUAUCAGCUUGUUGGUGGGGUAGUGGCUUACCAAGGCUUUGACGCGUAGCCGGCCUGAGAGGGUGACCUGCCACAUUGGGACUGAGAUACGGCCCAGACUCCUACGGGAGGCAGCAGUGGGGAAUAUUGCACAAUGGGCGGAAGCCUGAUGCAGCAACGCCGCGUCCGGGAUGACGGCCUUCGGGUUGGAAACCGCUUUCGCCUGUGACGAAGCGUGAGUGACGGUAAUGGGUAAAGAAGCACCGGCUAACUACGUG